AGGGCACCACCAGGAGUGGAGCCUGCGGCUUAAUUUGACUCAACACGGGAAAACUCACCCGGCCCGGACGCUGGAAGGAUUGACAGAUUGAGAGCUCUUUCUUGAUUCAGUGGGUGGUGGUGCAUGGCCGUUCUUAGUUGGUGGAGUGGUUUGUCUGGUUAAUUCCGAUAACGAACGAGACUCUAGCCUACUAAAUAGAUUGUCGGUUUACAAACACCGGCAAGACUUCUUAGAGGGACAGGCGGUGAUUCAACCGCACGAAACAGAGCAAUAACAGGUCUGUGAUGCCCUUAGAUGUCCGGGGCCGCACGCGCGCUACACUGAAGUGAUCAGCGUGCAUUUUCUACCUACUCUGUCAAGAGUGGGGAACCCAAUGAACCUUCUUCUUGUUGGGAUAGGGGAUUGUAAUUAUUUCCCCUGGACGAAGAAUUCCCAGUAAGGCCGAGUCUAAGCUUCCGUUGAUUACGUCCCUGCCCUUUGGACCCCCCCCGGCCGCUACUACCGAUGAAGUUUAGUGAG
rnacentral:rRNA from 1 species